rnacentral:sRNA from 1 species
UUGUUUUAAGACGAGGGAUCAAAUGAGACCUAUUUCUUCUUUUAUAUCUUCUUUUGUAUUUUAUCUCGAAACAAACGUUGCAGAUUAAGUUGAGAUUGUUAAUGAUGGAUCCAACCCGAUCGGAAUAAGAAAUCGAAAAUAUGUUAAUGAAAGAAAGUCCCACAUCGGAAGUUGGAGGAAUUAUGAAGUGAUAUAUAAAGGGUUAGGGUCACUCCACCUAUUGCCAAUUGGUUUUAGGUUGGAAGCCGAUAUUUAAACCCAAUUCUAUCAAAAUAAUUUCUUAUUUUAUCAACAAAAUGCCGCACUGUACCUUGGAUUAAAUGAGAAAUAAUUUGAGGUCUCUUGCUUAAAUUUCCAAGUCGAGAGGAAGGU